GACCCCCGCCGUGGUGCGGCCGACUGUCGGCACUUGUGUCCCUUCAAUAUUUGGCGAUGGAGAUUGGCCCUUUCACGAGUGCUUGCAUGCUGCUACCAGUCAUGCUGGAAGAUGUAAUCGCUUAUAUGUGCCAUCGUCGUGCUCGUCCUUAGGGCGUGGCUCGUCGACUUGAAAGCAUCCACGUCGUUGCCUCGUGUAGCUAGCCGAAUCGGCUGGCAACAUCAUGGCCGCCUCGUGCUUGCUCUUGGUUUUGGAUGUGGCUAGCGUUGUAGGCCGAAGGCGCUGCGGCGUCACGUGCCUAGCAAAGAAUGUUCAGUCAGAAACGACAGCCGGCUCGGUUGAUGCCUCGUGCAGAAAUCGGUGUU
rnacentral:misc_RNA from 1 species